AAAGAUUAAGCCAUGCAUGUCUAAGUAUAAACGAUCUAAUCGUGAAACCGCGAAUGGCUCAUUAUAACAGCUAUAAUUUACCUGAUCUUGACACUAUCCUACUUGGAUAACUGUGGUAAUUCUAGAGCUAAUACAUGCAUUAAAGCUCUGACCUCACGGGAAGAGUGCACUUAUUAGAACAAAACCAAGCGGCUUCGGCUGUUUUCGGUUGACUCAUAGUAACUGAGCUGAUCGCACGGUCUUGCACCGGCGACGUGUCUUUCAAGCAUCUGCCGUAUCAACUUUCGAUGGUAGUGUAUCUGACUACCAUGGUGAUCACGCGUAACGGAGAAUAAGGGUUCGGCUCCGGAGAGUUCGCCUGAGAAAUCGCGAACACAUCUAAGGAAGGCAGCAGGCGCGAAAAUUACCCACUCUCAGCACGAGGAGGUAGUGACGAAAAAUAACGAGACCGUUCUCUUAUGAGGCCGGUCAUCGGAAUGGGUACAAUUUAAACCCUUUAACGAGUAUCUAUGAGAGGGCAAGUCUGGUGCCAGCAGCCGCGGUAAUUCCAGCUCUCAAAGUGCAUAGAAUUAUUGCUGCGGUUAAAAAGCUCGUAGUUGGAUCUGUGCCAUAGGACGUGGUCCACCUUCUGGGUGCGUACUAUGUUCCUAGGCUUUUUGCUGGUUUUCCCGUCGUAGCCUUCAUUGGUUGCGGCGGGUGGCUGGCGAGUUUACUUUGAGAAAAUCAGAGUGCUCAACACAGGCGUAUCGCUUGAAUGAUUGUGCAUGGAAUAAUAGAAAAGGAUUCCGGUCCUCUUUUAUUGGUUUUGUGGACUGAGAUAAUGGUUAACAGGGACCAACGGGGGCAUUCGUAUCGCUGCGUGAGAGGUGGAAUUCUUGGACCGUAGCGAGACGCCCUACUGCGAAAGCAUUUGCCAAGAAUG
rnacentral:rRNA from 1 species